GACGAACGCUGGCGGCGUCCCUAACACAUGCAAGUCGAGCGGAGCGGCGGACGGGUGAGUAAUGCCUAGGACUCUGCCUGGUCGUGGGGGAUAACGUCCGGAAACGGGCGCUAAUACCGCAUCCUAUCAGAUGAGCCUAGGACGGAUUAGCUAGUUGGUGGGGUAAAAGCCUACCAAGGCGACGUUCCGUAACUGGUCUGUGAGGAUGAUCAGUCACACUGGAACUGAGACACGGUCCAGCAUCCUACGGGAGGCAGGAGUGGGGAAUAUUGCACAAGGGGCGCAGGCCUGAUGCAGCCAUGCCGCGUGUGUGAAGAAGGCCUUCGGGUUGUAAAGCACUUUCAGCGGGGAGGCGUUACCCGCAGAAGAAGCACCGGCUAACUCCGUGCCAGCAGGCGCGGUAAUUC
rnacentral:rRNA from 1 species